rnacentral:rRNA from 1 species
UCGAAAGCGUGGGGAGCGAAACGGAUUAGAUACCCGUGUAGUCCACGCCCUAAACGAUGAAUACUCGGUGUUCGGAGGUUUCAAAUCCCUCUGAGUGCCUAAGCUAACGCAUUAAGUAUUCCGCCUGGGGACUACGGUCGCAAGAUUAAAACUCAAAGGAAUAGACGGGGAUCUACACAAGCGGUGGAGCAUCUGGUUUAAUUCGACAUUAAGCGGGGAACCUUACCGGGGCUUGACAUCCUGAGAAUCUUCUGGAAACAGAGGAGUGCCGCAAGGAGCUCAGUGACAGGUGCUGCACGGCUGUCGUCAGCUCGUGUCGUGAGAUGUUGGGUUAAGUCCCGCAACGAGCGCAACCCUCGUCCUUAGUUACUAACGGUUCGGCCGAGGACUCUAAGGAGACUGCCUUCGUAAGGAGGAGGAAGGUGAGGACGACGUCAAGUCAUCAUGGCCCUUACGGCUAGGGCGACACACGUGCUACAAUGGAUAGGACAAUGAGACGCAAUACCGUGAGGUGGAGCAAAUCUAUAAACCUAUUCUCAGUUCGGAUUGUAGUCUGCAACUCGACUACAUGAAGCUGGAAUCACUAGUAAUCGUAGAUCAGCCAUGCUACGGUGAAUACGUUCCCGGGUCUUGUACUCACCGCCCGUCACACCAUGGGAGUUGAUUUCACCCGAAGCGGGGAAGCUAAACUGGCUACCCUCCACGGUGGAAUCAGCGACUGGGGUGAAGUCGUAACAAGGUAACC